AUGAACGCUAGCUACAGGCUUAACACAUGCAAGUCGAGGGGCAUCAGGAAGAAAGCUUGCUUUCUUUGCUGGCGACCGGCGCACGGGUGAGUAACACGUAUCCAACCUGCCCUUUACUCGGGGAUAGCCUUUCGAAAGAAAGAUUAAUACCCGAUAGUAUAAUGAUUCCGCAUGGUUUGAUUAUUAAAGGAUUCCGGUAAAGGAUGGGGAUGCGUUCCAUUAGGUUGUUGGUGAGGUAACGGCUCACCAAGCCUUCGAUGGAUAGGGGUUCUGAGAGGAAGGUCCCCCACAUUGGAACUGAGACACGGUCCAAACUCCUACGGGAGGCAGCAGUGAGGAAUAUUGGUCAAUGGGCGAUGGCCUGAACCAGCCAAGUAGCGUGAAGGAUGACUGCCCUAUGGGUUGUAAACUUCUUUUAUAUUAGAAUAAAGUGCAGUAUGUAUACUGUUUUGUAUGUAUAAUAUGAAUAAGGAUCGGCUAACUCCGUGCCAGCAGCCGCGGUAAUACGGAGGAUCCGAGCGUUAUCCGGAUUUAUUGGGUUUAAAGGGAGCGUAGGUGGACUGGUAAGUCAGUUGUGAAAGUUUGCGGCUCAACCGUAAAAUUGCAGUUGAUACUGUCAGUCUUGAGUACAGUAGAGGUGGGCGGAAUUCGUGGUGUAGCGGUGAAAUGCUUAGAUAUCACGAAGAACUCCGAUUGCGAAGGCAGCUCACUGGACUGCAACUGACACUGAUGCUCGAAAGUGUGGGUAUCAAACAGGAUUAGAUACCCUGGUAGUCCACACAGUAAACGAUGAAUACUCGCUGUUUGCGAUAUACAGUAAGCGGCCAAGCGAAAGCAUUAAGUAUUCCACCUGGGGAGUACGCCGGCAACGGUGAAACUCAAAGGAAUUGACGGGGGCCCGCACAAGCGGAGGAACAUGUGGUUUAAUUCGAUGAUACGCGAGGAACCUUACCCGGGCUUAAAUUGCAGUAGAAUGAUGUGGAAACAUGUCAGUGAGCAAUCACCGCUGUGAAGGUGCUGCAUGGUUGUCGUCAGCUCGUGCCGUGAGGUGUCGGCUUAAGUGCCAUAACGAGCGCAACCCUUAUCUUUAGUUACUAACAGGUCAUGCUGAGGACUCUGGAGAGACUGCCGUCGUAAGAUGUGAGGAAGGUGGGGAUGACGUCAAAUCAGCACGGCCCUUACGUCCGGGGCUACACACGUGUUACAAUGGGGGGUACAGAAGGCAGCUACCUGGUGACAGGAUGCUAAUCCCAAAAGCCUCUCUCAGUUCGGAUCGAAGUCUGCAACCCGACUUCGUGAAGCUGGAUUCGCUAGUAAUCGCGCAUCAGCCACGGCGCGGUGAAUACGUUCCCGGGCCUUGUACACACCGCCCGUCAAGCCAUGGGAGCCGGGGGUACCUGAAGUACGUAACCGCAAGGAGCGUCCUAGGGUAAAACUGGUGACUGGGGCU
rnacentral:rRNA from 1 species